CAGCCGGAGACUGGCAAACUUUGACUCCACGCCGCGAGAAGAAUCGGCCAGCCUGAGAAAGCGAAAAAAGGCAUUCUUCACCAUGGAAGUUCAAACCAACAACUGUGUGCACCAGGAUCCCCACGAUACCCAAGUGCAACAGAACCAGCCCCAGAGGGAUGCAGUCAAAACGAAGCCAUCACGCAAGGAAUGCUGCCAGAAUUGCUGCGACACGACCGUCAAUGCCGGCUCUAUGAUGGCCGAAUGCGGCUCCUGCUUCAAUGACUGUUUUGAGAAUAUCAAGUCGGUCACAUAGGAGCAUCGACAGAUGCGUGGUUGGGAGCACCCUCAGCGCCAGGCAAAUGGUGUGGCACAGCAACGGAACGACUGAAGAGAGGAAGGCACUGCAGAGGGUGGGGAAAGCUGCUCAGAAAAUCGUAGGGCGCUUUCUUCCCACCACCACCACAGACAUCUUCAUCAGCCGAUGCAAUUGGAGGACUCCGUGGCAAAAGAGACCGAUCCCACUCUCCCCCUGCACGAGUAAAACCUAAAGAAGCCAUAUGUAAUAAUCUGUCCAGAAAUGAUACUGCAAUCACGGUUAAAAUUCCCUCUCCCUGACUGAGGUUGCCAGAUACGCAGCCGAAUCCAGCUCGAUGGACUGGGCUACUCCAAGGAACUUCAAACUUCCACUGCCUCUUACUAGGGGUUGAGGUGCUGGGACCAUAAUAGCUGCAUAGACAAGCACUUUGUCAAUAACAAAUCUCUAACCAACACAUUUUACACAGAAUUUAGGCUAUUUUCAGGAAGAAGUACAUCAUACUUGCGUAUAAUAUCACAACAAACGACAAUCAUGUGGUUACUGUCAGUACUAUCAGAAAACAAAGACUACAACCAACGCUAGCAAUGGUUGUACUGGUGGAAAUAAGUAGAGCAUGCUUCGCAGCCUAAUGUACGGCCAAAACUAAAGAGGAGACAUUUUACCAAGGAAUGCCUAUAUAGGCUACUGUUUCAAACGUUGCAGAUUGCCAUAUAACUUGGUAGAUGUAGUCCACAAUAUGCAAUCAUCAAUGAGGAAUGCUUGUAUCAUGUGAUUUGGCUGAUCCAUACGUUUCAUAUUGCCAUGAUGACAGCCGUGCUAAUGUUGGAGCCCAUUUCCUCAGCGUAUGAGCAUAUUGAGAACGAACUUGCAUAUAAUAUUUCCCCCGUUAGCCCAAAUGUCGAUGUGUCAUUGGUGAGCAUUACACUAGGAGCGAAGCAUCAUCACACUAAGCAUUUGUUGCGCGAACAUAUUAGCUUUGUGAGACAAGAUCAUAGACUGUAUUCGACAAUAUAGUUUACAUACCAAAUGUCCGUUUCCAUUUAGAUUAGAUUAGAUUAGAUUAGAUUAGAUUUAUUGGUCCCCUUGGGGAAAUUCAUUGUCACUGCCGUACAUUUAAACACUAGACAUUACACAUCACACAAAAAAAAUAAAAUAAAAAAAAAUAACAAAAAGACAUCAUACAUGACUAACACACAUUUACAGGCUUGUCAGACAGGUCGGCCGGGCCUGCGGUUAAGGGCGGCUAUAGCUGCAGGGAUCAGGCUUUUCCUGAGGCGGGCCCUCCGGAAUUUGAUUGUUCUGUACCUGCGCCCUGAUGGUAGUGGGAUGAUGUAUUACAAUUAAUAAGAAAUAAUAAUAAUAAUAAUAAAUUGGAUUUGUAAAAAACGCUUUACAUUGAGUAAACAACCUCAAAGUGCUACAGUGUAUUAAAAAAAAUAAAUAAUAAACAUAAAAACUAGAACAGCCAAAUAGCUAGAACUAGUAUGCAUAUAUCUAAAAAAAAAAAAAAUAAUUAAGAAAGAAGGGUUUUUAAGCCUUUUUUAAAAGCAUCCACGGUCUGUGCCGCCCUCAGGUGGUCAGGGAAAGCGUUCCACAGACUGUUAGCGGCGGAGCAGAAAGCCCGGUCUCCCAUUGUUCGUAGCUUUUAAGAAAACGUAAAUGCCUGACUUACCUAUCAAGGAGGAAAUGAGCAAGUUCUUCAUCUUCGUCAGUGUGCAAUUUCCAACAAGAAGUGAUGCACUUAAAUAGUCGCAGCUGUGGUCAAUCAACUGAUACAACACAUCGAGAACAACUUCAAAAAUGAAAGUGUAAAAAUAAUAAACUAAAAGGAAAAUUGUACGAAACACAUCAAAGCACAGUAUCAUAGGAAAAUAAAUGAAGCAAUAAAACAAAACAAAAAUAAAGCAAUAAAAAAAUAAUAAAGCAAUACAAAAAAUAUAUAUAAAAAAAAAUAUAUAUAUAUAUAAAACGUCAUAAAAAAUAAAUCAAUAAAAAGCAUAGUAAUUAAAAAAAACAAAAAAACAGUGCCUUUUAGAUGUACUAAGGUCUGACAUGUUUAGUAACUUUACCAGUGGCAGUAGCCAGACGAAGAUGGCGGUGCGUAACUGGCAACCUGGAUGUGACACACUCACAGACUUUUCUAAUUGCUCAAACGGUAAAGGGCGGCACAUCAAAAUGAAAACAAUAACAAGAUUUCGGGGUUGUAAAUCUAAUUUUGAAAUGAGCAAAUCACGGCUGAAUUACUGUUAUCAGUUAUAGAGGUAGUGGAAAAGAACAUGAUUUAUUAUGCCUUUUGACAUAUCAGGGCCAUUUACUGAUGACCAGACAUGAAAUUAUUACAUAUGGCUCCUUUAACUUGCACACAUGUUCCAGCUGUGCUGUACCAGGCUUUCAUGUGGUUUGGUUUGCUGUCCAUUGUUUUUACAUUCUAUAUGCACGACAUGAUCACAAUGUAUUCUAUUUUUAUAUAUAUUCGGUAUAUAAUUGAUCCAUAUUAUUUGAAACCUACUAUGCAUCCUGUUCUAUUUGAAUUAUUACGUACCUACUAUUGUUUUUGUGGUGCUCAUUGGGCUACAUAUGGGAUCCCGGUUACUAAAUGUUACCUAAUGCCAUCCAAUUCGUCUCAUGUGUGCUGCUAUUACAGAUGGAAAAUGAAGACACAAAUAAUGAUCAAAAUUAUUUUUGAAUAAUAAUUAAAGAUUCAAGAUUCAAGAUGCUUUAAUAUUGUUCAUUCUUUAACAUGUACAAGACACAUAAGAACUGAAAUUUCAUUUUCGGCACAAUCCCACUAAGAGCAGACAUACGUUACAGGGAGACAAGACGGGACC